UACGGAGGGAGCUAGCGCUGUUCGGAAUUACUGGGCGUAAAGCGCGUGUAGGCGGCCCUGCAAGUCGGAUGUGAAAUCCCACGGCUCAACCGUGGAAGUGCAUUCGAAACUGCAGGGCUAGAGUCCUGGAGAGGAAGGUGGAAUGCUUGGUGUAGAGGUGAAAUUCGUAGAUAUCAAGCGGAACACCGGUGGCGAAGGCGGCUCUCUGGACCGAUACUGACGCUGAGGCGCGAAAGCGUGGGGAGCAAACAGG
rnacentral:rRNA from 1 species